CCUACGGGAGGCAGCAGUGAGGAAUAUUGGUCAAUGGACGAGAGUCUGAACCAGCCAAGUAGCGUGAAGGAUGACUGCCCUAUGGGUUGUAAACUUCUUUUAUAUGGGAAUAAAAUGUUCCACGUGUGGGAUUUUGUAUGUACCAUAUGAAUAAGGAUCGGCUAACUCCGUGCCAGCAGCCGCGGUAAUACGGAGGAUCCGAGCGUUAUCCGGAUUUAUUGGGUUUAAAGGGAGCGUAGGUGGAUUGUUAAGUCAGUUGUGAAAGUUUGCGGCUCAACCGUAAAAUUGCAGUUGAAACUGGCAGUCUUGAGUACAGUAGAGGUGGGCGGAAUUCGUGGUGUAGCGGUGAAAGGCUUAGAUAGCACGAAGAACUCCGAUUGCGAAGGCAGCUCACUGGACUGCAACUGACACUGAGGCUCGAAAGUGUGGGUAUCAAACAGGAUUAGAUACCCGAGUAGUC
rnacentral:rRNA from 1 species